GAUGAACGCCGGCGGCGUGCCUAAUACAUGCAAGUCGAGCGAACAGAUAAGGAGCUUGCUCCUUUGACGUUAGCGGCGGACGGGUGAGUAACACGUGGGUAACCUACCUAUAAGACUGGAAUAACUCCGGGAAACCGGGGCUAAUGCCGGAUAAUAUUUAGAACCGCAUGGUUCUAAAGUGAAAGAUGGUUUUGCUAUCACUUAUAGAUGGACCCGCGCCGUAUUAGCUAGUUGGUGGGGUAAUGGCUUACCAAGGCAACGAUACGUAGCCGACCUGAGAGGGUGAUCGGCCACACUGGAACUGAGACACGGUCCAGACUCCUACGGGAGGCAGCAGUAGGGAAUCUUCCGCAAUGGGCGAAAGCCUGACGGAGCAACGCCGCGUGAGUGAUGAAGGUCUUCGGAUCGUAAAACUCUGUUAUUAGGGAAGAACAAAUGUGUAAGUAACUGUGCACGUCUUGACGGUACCUAAUCAGAAAGCCACGGCUAACUACGUGCCAGCAGCCGCGGUAAU
rnacentral:rRNA from 1 species